rnacentral:lncRNA from 1 species
GACUCAGUUUAAAUAUUUGUUCAGGAUGACCAUCCAUACCUGAGACCUUAUGAAUUCUGCAGCUGACUUUCAGGAAAUUUCUUCAGGAAAUUUCUGCAAGAACAAAGGAGCACAGCUAUUCAGUGUGGAAGUUUCUUUGGCAGUUUUUAUCUGCUUAAUAGUUGUUCUGCCACUCGUCAGUGCUGAAGGCUAUGCUUUCACUGGGGUAUAACAAGUGAUUGUUUUGAAUGAACAAAUGAACAUUUUUGGACUAUAUAUGCAUAAACAAAAAUUUGGAGCUAUAUAUGCCUUCAGGAAGAGAGAGGUUUUUUCCACUGGUCACAGUUCUGGGAGCCAACCUAACACUGGUGGAAGUGGACAAGGAUGGUGGACUCCUGUCUGCACUACUCCAUACCACUGGUCAGGGUUCUGAAAAAAUGGGACACAGCCUUGACUGGCUCUCAGCCUGCCAUGGUAACUCCUUGAACAUUUACUAUACUUUUUUACAUUCAGGACCACCGAAGCUGAUAGCAUGGGUCCUAUUCACCCAUGCUAAUUCUUUUCCAGCGGGAACAUGGAAGGAAGAGUACAGAUGGGCUAGGAGUGGACUGCUGGGCACUCUGGGAAUCUAUCCCCAACACAAGGAGCCAUGAAAUUCCAACAUAAAAGAAUUAGCCCUGCAAAAACCUGUUGUAUUUUACUUCAUGUAUCGUUCAACACAUAACACUGGGGGAUUUUAGCCUACAGUGAGAACUCAUUUUUAUCUAAUACACAUAAUUAGGUCAAGCCAAUGGAUUACAGAUUAAACAAGCAGGGCAUUUUGCUAUCACUGGAAGAACUUUAUGUAUGUAUCUGAAGUCCUAAUAGUAUAUACUCAUGGUUUUAAAACACUGGUUAUUUAUUGACAAUUUUAGCUUGAAGUGGCCUGCAAUAAACUAGCAGCUUUUAGGGUCUUACUAAUUUAC